UACGAAGGGGGCUAGCGUUGCUCGGAAUCACUGGGCGUAAAGGGCGCGUAGGCGGCCGAUCAAGUCAGGGGUGAAAGCCUGUGGCUCAACCACAGAAUUGCCUUUGAUACUGUUUGGCUAGAGACCGGAAGAGGUUAGUGGAACUGCGAGUGUAGAGGUGAAAUUCGUAGAUAUUCGCAAGAACACCAGUGGCGAAGGCGGCUAACUGGUCCGGUUCUGACGCUGAGGCGCGAAAGCGUGGGGAGCAAACAGG
rnacentral:rRNA from 1 species